GAUUUUCGCAAUGCCCGAAAGGGUGACGAAGCGACGCCGCGUGGGGGAAGAAGGCCUUCGGGUUGUAAACCGCUGUCGGGAGUUAAGAAAUGUAAGGAUGUUAAUAGCAUCUUUGCUUGACUAAGGCUCCGGAGGAAGCCACGGCUAACUCUGUGCCAGCAGCCGCGGUAAUACAGAGGCGGCAAGCGUUGUUCGGAAUUAUUGGGCGUAAAGAGCACGUAGGCGGCUAUGUAAGUCGGUUGUGAAAGCCUUCCGCUCAACGGGAGAACAGCAUCCGAUACUGCAUGGCUUGAGUGCGGGAGGGGAGAGUGGAACUUCUGGUGGAGCGGUGAAAUGCGUAGAUAUCAGAAGGAACGCCGGCGGCGAAAGCGGCUCUCUGGCCCAUAACUGACGCUGAGUGUGCGAAAGCUAGGGGAGCAAACGGGAUUAGAUACCCCGGUAGUCCUAGCCGUAAACGAUGGGCACUAAGUAGAGGGGUUUUAAUC
rnacentral:rRNA from 1 species